rfam:Clostridiales bacterium 45_37 Ley3_66761_scaffold_2099, whole genome shotgun sequence.
GAUCAUAAAAGGCAAAACAGCUGAAAGACUGUGACGCAAAGCUAUAGGGCCUGUAAAAUGGCAGCCAGUUGCAUAG